rfam:Oryza barthii chromosome 7, whole genome shotgun sequence.
AGUAAACACAACCAUAAGUUUUCGUGUCCAACUUUGAUCAUUCGUCUUAUUUGAAUUUUUUUUAUGAUUUGUAUUUUUAUUGUUAUUAGAUUAUAAAACAUGAAUAGUACACUUUAUGCGUGACUUGUGCUUUUUAUUUUUUUCAAAAAAAAUAAUAAGACAGACAAUUAAAGUUGGACACUUAAACUUAUGGAUGUGCUUAUU